rnacentral:rRNA from 1 species
GACGAACGCUGGCGGCGUGCCUAAUACAUGCAAGUAGAACGCUCAAGCAGGAGCUUUCUUCUCUGGAUGAUUUGCGAACGGGUGAGUAACGCGUAUGUAACCUCCCUGUUAGCGGGGGAUAACUCUUGGAAACGAUAGCUAAUACCGCAUAAGAGUAUAUGUUGCAUGACAUUUGCUUAAAAGGUGCAAUUUCAUUGCUACCAGAUGGACCUGCGUUGUAUUAGCUAGUUGGUGGGGUAACGGCUCAACAAGGCGACGAUGCAUAGGCGACCUGGUGGGGGGAUCGGCCACAACGGGAACGGAGCACGGCCCAGACCCCUAACGGAGGCAGCAGGAGGGGAUCUUCGGCAAUGGACGGAAGGCUGACCGAGGAACGCCGCGGGAGGGGAGAAGGUUCUCGGGUCGGAAAGAUCUGUUGUAAGGGAAGAAAGAGAGUGGGAGUGGAAAGUGCACACUGUGACGGUAUCUUAUCAGAAAGGCACGGCUAACUACGUG